rnacentral:rRNA from 1 species
UACGUAGGGGGCUAGCGUUGUCCGGAAUCAUUGGGCGUAAAGCGCGUGUAGGCGGUCUGGUAAGUCCGCUGUGAAAGUCGAGGGCUCAACCCUCGAAUGCCGGUGGAUACUGUCGGGCUUGAGUACGGGAGAGGCGAGUGGAAUUCCUGGUGUAGCGGUGAAAUGCGCAGAUAUCAGGAGGAACACCCGUGGCUAAGGCGGCUCUCUAGUACGGUACUGACGCUGAGACGCGAAAGCGUGGGGAGCGAACAGG